rnacentral:rRNA from 1 species
GGGUUGUGAGGUUAAGCGACUAAGCGUACACGGUGGAUGCCCUGGCAGUCAGAGGCGAUGAAGGACGUGCUAAUCUGCGAAAAGCGUCGGUAAGGUGAUAUGAACCGUUAUAACCGGCGAUGUCCGAAUGGGGAAACCCAGUGCAAUUCGUUGCACUAUCGUUAACUGAAUACAUAGGUUAACGAGGCGAACCGGGGGAACUGAAACAUCUAAGUACCCCGAGGAAAAGAAAUCAACCGAGAUUCCCCAGUAGCGGCGAGCGAACGGGGAGCAGCCCAGAGUCUGAAUCAGCUUGUGUGUUAGUGGAACGGUCUGGAAAGUCCGACGGUACAGGGUGAUAGUCCCGUACACCAAAAUGCACAGGUUGUGAACUCGAAGAGUAGGGCGGGACACGUGGUAUCCUGUCUGAAUAUGGGGGACCAUCCUCCAAGGCUAAAUACUCCUGACUGACCGAUAGUGAACCAGUACCGUGAGGGAAAGGCGAAAAGAACCCCGGCGAGGGGAGUGAAAAAGAACCUGAAACCGUGUACGUACAAGCAGUGGGAGCACCUUCGGGUGUGACUGCGUACCUUUUGUAUAAUGGGUCAGCGACUUAUAUUCUGUAGCAAGGUUAACCGUAUAGGGGAGCCGCAGGGAAACCGAGUCUUAACUGGGCGUUAAGUUGCAGGGUAUAGACCCGAAACCCGGUGAUUCAGCCAUGGGCAGGUUGAAGGUUGGGUAACACUAACUGGAGGACCGAACCGACUAAUGUUGAAAAAUUAGCGGAUGACUUGUGGCUGGGGUGAAAGGCCAAUCAAACCGGGAGAUAGCUGGUUCUCCCCGAAAGCUAUUUAGGUAGCGCCUCGUGAACUCAUCUUCGGGGGUAGAGCACUGUUUCGGCUAGGGGGUCAUCCCGACUUACCAACCCGAUGCAAACUACGAAUACCGAAGAAUGUUAUCACGGGAGACACACGGCGGGUGCUAACGUCCGUCGUGAAGAGGGAAACAACCCAGACCGCCAGCUAAGGUCCCAAAGUCAUGGUUAAGUGGGAAACGAUGUGGGAAGGCACAGACAGCCAGGAUGUUGGCUUAGAAGCAGCCAUCAUUUAAAGAAAGCGUAAUAGCUCACUGGUCGAGUCGGCCUGCGCGGAAGAUGUAACGGGGCUAAACCAUGCACCGAAGCUGCGGCAGCGACACUAUGUGUUGUUGGGUAGGGGAGCGUUCUGUAAGCCUGCGAAGGUGACCUGUGAGGGUUGCUGGAGGUAUCAGAAGUGCGAAUGCUGACAUAAGUAACGAUAAAGCGGGUGAAAAGCCCGCUCGCCGGAAGACCAAGGGUUCCUGUCCAACGUUAAUCGGGGCAGGGUGAGUCGACCCCUAAGGCGAGGCCGAAAGGCGUAGUCGAUGGGAAACAGGUUAAUAUUCCUGUACUUGGUGUUACUGCGAAGGGGGGACGGAGAAGGCUAUGUUAGCCGGGCGACGGUUGUCCCGGUUUAAGCAUGUAGGCUGGUUAUCCAGGCAAAUCCGGAUAAUCAAGGCUGAGGUGUGAUGACGAGGCACUACGGUGCUGAAGUAACAAAUGCCCUGCUUCCGUGAAAGCCUCUAAGCAUCAGGUAACAUCAAAUCGUACCCCAAACCGACACAGGUGGUCAGGUAGAGAAUACCAAGGCGCUUGAGAGAACUCGGGUGAAGGAACUAGGCAAAAUGGUGCCGUAACUUCGGGAGAAGGCACGCUGGUGUGUAGGUGAAGUCCCUGCGGAUGGAGCUGAGACCAGUCGAAGAUACCAGCUGGCUGCAACUGUUUAUUAAAAACACAGCACUGUGCAAACACGAAAGUGGACGUAUACGGUGUGACGCCUGCCCGGUGCCGGAAGGUUAAUUGAUGGGGUUAUCCGUAAGGAGAAGCUCUUGAUCGAAGCCCCGGUAAACGGCGGCCGUAACUAUAACGGUCCUAAGGUAGCGAAAUUCCUUGUCGGGUAAGUUCCGACCUGCACGAAUGGCGUAAUGAUGGCGGGCUGUCUCCACCCGAGACUCAGUGAAAUUGAACUCGCUGUGAAGAUGCAGUGUACCCGCGGCAAGACGGAAAGACCCCGUGAACCUUUACUAUAGCUUGACACUGAACAUUGAGCCUUGAUGUGUAGGAUAGGUGGGAGGCUUUGAAGCGUGGACGCCAGUCUGCGUGGAGCCAACCUUGAAAUACCACCCUUUAAUGUUUGAUGUUCUAACGUUGGCCCCUGACCGGGGUUGCGGACAGUGUCUGGUGGGUAGUUUGACUGGGGCGGUCUCCUCCCAAAGCGUAACGGAGGAGCACGAAGGUUAGCUAAUCCGGUCGGACAUCAGGAGGUUAGUGCAAUGGCAUAAGCUAGCUUGACUGCGAGCGUGACGGCGCGAGCAGGUGCGAAAGCAGGUCAUAGUGAUCCGGUGGUUCUGAAUGGAAGGGCCAUCGCUCAACGGAUAAAAGGUACUCCGGGGAUAACAGGCUGAUACCGCCCAAGAGUUCAUAUCGACGGCGGUGUUUGGCACCUCGAUGUCGGCUCAUCACAUCCGGGGCUGAAGUAGGUCCCAAGGGUAUGGCUGUUCGCCAUUUAAAGUGGUACGCGAGCUGGGUUUAGAACGUCGUGAGACAGUUCGGUCCCCUAUCUGCCGUGGGCGCUGGAGAAUUGAGGGGGCUGCUCCUAGUACGAGAGGACCGGAGUGGACGCAUCACUGGUGUUCGGGUUGUCAUGCCAAUGGCACUGCCCGGUAGCUAAAUGCGGAAGAGAUAAGUGCUGAAAGCAUCUAAGCACGAAACUUGCCCCGAGAUGAGUUCUCCUGAGACUUUAAGUCUCCUGAAGGAACGUUAAAGACGAUGACGUUGAUAGGCCGGGUGUGUAAGCGCAGCGAUGCGUUGAGCUAACCGGUACUAAUGAACCGUGAGGCUUAACCUUACAACGCCGAAG